rnacentral:lncRNA from 1 species
CUUGUGAAUUUUUGACAUAUGGCAUUUUAUGACAUAAUCUCACUUUUUCUUAUUCUUUUCAUUUUAGUGCUGCUUGUUGCUGAUGUUUCUGCCCAAAUACCAUGAAAAUGUGGAGAAGAAAGAAAGAACACUCAGAUGUGCCUGGAGACUUUCUUUUUAUUUUUAAACAUGUACAUCCUGAAAUUAUGUUAGACCAAAAAUCUGGCCAAUGAUGCUUUGAUCACACUUCGCUACUUGCUGAUGACUAAAGGUGAGGUUAUUUUAUGAGUAAAUAUCACUGCGAAGAGCCAAAUAGUGUUUGAAAAUGAUUCUGAAACUGGACUUUAAAUGGCUUUUGGUAC